UCUAAAGAGCAGUCUGAGCAGUGUCUCCAGGAACCUAAUCCAGGGACAACUGCUACUACCUGGAUCUCCUAGUUCAUAUGUUUCUAAAAUAGCCCUCCCAGCUCUGAUGGACUAUGACACAUGGGGAAACAUAGCAAGACAACCAGCCUGAGUUCUCACAUCUUACUUAUACAGACUUCAUAUCCUAAAUAUACGACAUAAAGGAGUGGAGAGAUGUGAAAGGGAAAGAGAAACCAUCACACCAGGCUUUGUAUCAAACUCCAGCUACUAUGAACUUUUCAAAUAUUAUAGAGAAAUGCGCCAAAGAACUUCUCAUGGUAUUCUGGUUGACUCUGGCUACUUCCACUGACAAUUCAGUGAAGCCUUGCUGUUUCUGCUGGAUCAUGCUGCCACUACUGAUUCAUCUUUGGUGUUUGCUAUUGAAUUGAGCUGCUGAUAUCCUGAAAUAAAGAGUGGAAUCAACCCAAAGAACUACCAUUAAACAGGUCCACAAUCCCCUACUUCAGGUCAGUGGGCUAGAAAGGAGGUUGAAGCAUUUAAGAACCAUAGAUAAAGUAGGUUUGGAAGAAAAGUCUAAGCCUACACUAACCAAGAGUAGAAGGAUGCAUAAAGGGGAACAUGAGACAAAAGAAGACAUAUGAGCCUAUAUUUAAAAGUAGCUGGUCACAUUAUCUAGAAUGUGAAAACCUGGAAAGACUAUUCCCCCCACCUAACAAAUAAAGCUAGAUAAAUGCUAUAUUUAUUCUUUAGGCCAUUGAAUAGCUGAGAUCAUACAGAAACAAAGUGGUUUAAAAUUUGAAAAUAAACAGGCUCACAGAGAUAGAGUUGUCCUGAGGCACUCUCUUACCUAUGGCAAAAAAGAUGAAGAAAUAACCUAUAUAUACCAUACGGACAAGUUAAAGCACUCAGUUUAAAGUAGAAGUCUGCAGUGGCUACCAUGAAGACAUAGACAGCAAGCAGCUUAUCUUCGUGACCUCCACUGGAUGCUCACAAGAAACAUUGAGAAUGGAGGAAGAGAGAAGCUCUACCACAGCAGGUCUGGAAGAAAAAGAAUGACUGGUCACCUUAUGAAGAAUUAGCUCAGCUGGCAAAGUCCUUGCCUUGAAAUCAUCUGCAAGCCUAGCUCCAGGAGAUCCAAUACCCUUUCCUAACCACUUGCUACAGAUGAACCUCUAUUGGGUCUCUGAUCUGCAGGGAACAGGUGAGCAAGGGUCACUGACAAACAGACACAGACACAAGGGAGUGCUGAAUCUGAAUGUAAGUUUUUCCAAGCAAACACCAGACUUUUAAUACAGAAAAAAACGAAAAAAAAACCAACCAACCAAACAAACAAACAAAAAACAAGAAAGCCAGGGGAACACAUCCGCCAAGUUACAUUGACACACACACACAAAAAGAAAGCAUACAUUAAAAAGAUGGCAGACGCCAGGCUGUGUUUACAACUGAGAAUAGGAACAACUGUAAUUAAGAUCAGCUAAACACAGGAGCCAGGUGAAUGCUCUGAUACAAUGCUAGUCUAUUGUUAAACCCAUCAUCAGGGGUCCUUUAGUAAAUACCUGAUUAUGCUAUUCCUCUGGGCCUAGUGAAAAAACCUGCACCAGGGGAAUUCCCUUCUACUAACCCUUUCAUGCUACAACCCACCUAUUUCCUAGGCCAUUGUGUAGUCCUGUGUUUGGGUGUGACUCGGCUAUUGUCCUAAGUAAUCACUAUGCAGACUAGCCCUGAGCUUUUCUAGCUCUGUUCAAGUAAAUUGUAAUGCCUAAUUAGUUUCACUGUCUCUACUAGAAGUGAAUUUGAAUGUUACUGAAUAGGUAACAUUCUAAUUGAAUUCCAAGCUCAGGGUCGGCUUCUAGGAUUGCCUGGGACAUUGGAACACUGAGGAAGGCUUAGCUAUAUGUCAAAAUCAAUCCUAAAAGGCACUUAUAUUAAAACAAUAUUGAAAGAGAGCACACGGAUCCAUACACCAGACUAACGUGAGGACAGGUUUUGAGUAUAUGGGCUAUGGGAAUGCCAAGGUUCCAAGAGGCAAAGUUUCAUUGGAACUCUUUGCCUCGUGACUGCUUCCAGGCUUUCAGGCCUGUCAUGCGUGUCACUACUGGAGUAGAUGUAGCAACCACCAAGAGUGCAAGGCAUGCACAUGGUACACACAUACAUGCAGCUGAAACACUGGAUAAAACAAUGAAAUAAAUAAUGUGUGGUCACUUGCACUGUUAAUCCCAGUGUUGGGGAGGGGACAACAGGGACUCAAUAGCUAGCCAGUCUAAAGUUAUUGUUAAGCUCCAAGCCAAAGCAGACCAAUAAGAUAUACUUUCUCAAUGGAGAAAGAUAGAUUUCCUGAGGACAACAUCUGAGAGUGUGCUCUGGUCUCAACAGGAGCACAUAUGCUUCUGCACACACACACAUAUGUACCCUAACCCAUGCAUGCUUGUGCACAUCUUAUUCACACACAUACACACACACACAAAUCAAAAUUUGAAAGCCUUGCUUGAACCCCUGUCCUCUAUAGAAAACAAUCAUGAGCCUUUGUCAGAAAGUCAACAAACCUUGUCUCCAGUUCUUCACUCCUCACUGUAAGCCUAAGGAACACUAGGACAAUUUUGAAGAUGAAAGUAGUCUAACUUAAUCUUGAUUAUAUGAUUGAGUUUCUCACAUUAAUCCUCAUGUACAAAUACCAUUUACUCCAAUCUCGACUGCUCAGAACAUGAUGGAUAUUGUUCAAUAAAAAUGUACAAGUCAGCCACAGUUUUCAAAUUUUUGUUUGUUUGAUUGAUUGAUUGAUUGAUUGAUUGAUGUGAUCUUGCUAACUCAGGCUGGCUUUAUAAUCGUAAUCCUCCUACCUCACUUUCCUGAGCUCUGGAAUUCCAACUAUGUACCAGCAUACCUAUGUAAGAGAUUCUUUGGUAGAGCAGGAUGAAACAAGUCACUGUAAAAGACAGGAAAGCAACAAGAUUGCUGAGAUGAAUAAGGUGUGUAAGACAUCAGAUGUGGAAUUUAAAUACGGAUUAAGAGAUAUGGUGACUCACCACCUUUAAU